rnacentral:rRNA from 1 species
GACGAACGCUGGCGGCGUGCUUAACACAUGCAAGUCGAACGGAAAGGCCCUGCUUGUGUAGGGUGCUCGAGUGGCGAACGGGUGAGUAACACGUGAGUAACCUGCCCUUGACUUUGGGAUAACUUCAGGAAACUGGGGUUAAUACCGGAUAGGAUCUCCUGCUGCAUGGUGGGGGGUGGAAAGUUUCGGCGGUUGGGGAUGGACUCGCGGCUGAUCAGCUUGUUGGUGGGGUAGUGGCUUACCAAGGCUGUGACGGGUAGCCGGCCUGGGAGGGUGAACGGCCACAUUGCGCCUGAGAUACGGCCCAGACGCCUACGGGAGGCAGCAGUGGGGAAUAUUGCACAAUGGGCGGAAGUCUGAUGAAGCAACGCCGCGUGCGGGAUGACGGCCUGCGGGUUGUAAACCGCUUUCGCCUGUGACGAAGCGGGAGUGACGGUAAUGGGUAAAGAAGCACCGGCUAACUACGUG